AAGAAAAGCUUGAUGAUCCCGGUUCAUUCACUCUUCCAUGCUCUCUAGGACCAUGGACAUUCGAUAGGUGCCUUUUGUGAUUUGGGAGCAUCUGUUAGCCUUAUGCCUCUCUCUACAGCUAAAAGGCUAGGAAUCAUGGAAUACAAGUUCUACAACUUAGUUUUACUCUUAGCUGACGGUUCUGUUGCACAUCCCCAUGAUCUAAUAGAAAAUUUGCCUGUUAAGAUUGGAAUUGUUGAGAUACCUACAGAUUUUGUGGUAUUGGACAUAGAUGAAGAAGGGAAGG
rnacentral:sRNA from 1 species